AUGGCCUGGACUCCUCUCCUUCUCCUGUUCCUCUCUCACUGCACAGGUUCCCUCUCGCAGGCUGUGCUGACUCAGCCAACUUCCCUCUCAGCAUCUCCUGGAGCAUCAGCCAGACUCACCUGCACCUUGCGCAGUGGCAUCAGUGUUGGUAGCUACAGGAUAUACUGGUACCAGCAGAAGCCAGGGAGUCCUCCCAGGUAUCUCCUGAACUACUACUCAGACUCAGAUAAGCACCAGGGCUCUGGAGUCCCCAGCCGCUUCUCUGGAUCCAAAGAUGCUUCGACCAAUGCAGGGAUUUUAUUCAUCUCUGGGCUCUAGUCUGAGGAUGAGGCUGACUAUUACUGUAUGAUUUGGCACAGCAGUGCUUCU